rnacentral:lncRNA from 10 species
AAUUAGGUUGAUGUAAUUCAUUUAUUAUCUGGAAGCUCAAUAGGGAAUGUGACAUGAAUGAAUUUAAGCAAGUCUGGGCAUAUUGGGAGGCAAUUCUCCAUGUAUGUCUUGCAAAUAAAGGCAUUGGUGAUGAUCACUCUGUCUUUUCGAGGAUGUUGGUAGAGCAAACAGCUUUUGAAGAUAGAGAUGAUUUCUCUCUCUGAAGGAAAAGGUGUUUGUCUACUUUGCAGUCUAAUAAAUACAAUGUCUUCAUCUGGGGCAAACGUUGGGUUUCUUUUCUGCACCUCUAUUAAAAACUGGGGUUUUGCCAGCAAGGGGUUGCUCAUCUAUGAUGCAAACCCAUUGUGUGUGCUGUAUCCACCUGGGAAAAUAUGAAGAUAAGGAUGCUCAUUGUGCCUUCAGUAAUAAAGUCUUUUCUCUUUGAUCUAGGAGUCCAGUGUCUUCAGCCCAUCACGUUGAAGCUGUGGGGGCUAAUAUGUUAGCUUGCAAGUGGCUUAAUAUCUCAUAGUCUUCAUUCUUGAUAAAGCUUCCCUAGUUUCUCAUGGGAGAAGGGCCUACUGGGAUUAUGGAGUCAGAGAAAGUGAUGCACAGAGUUAGUCAUUGGAAGCUGCACACAUUCUAAAUCCAGCAAUCACUGUCCUGAGUGAACAUGAAGUUCUGCAAUUACUCAGUGAUCACAAAGGUCCUCAAAGCUAACACUACUCACGAAGAUGGUGUGAGUUACAUUGGCUGACAAGCUCCAGCCAUGGACGCAAUUCCUUCUAGAAGCAAAAUUUAUCUCUAGACUCCUCCUGUAUUUUAAUUUAGCCACUUUUUUAGGGCCUACAAUUUUAGAUCUCCACAGGGCUCUUGAAACUUCUUGAACCUCAUCAGUAACAUGUCCAUUAGUGGCAUGACCCAAGAGUUCUAGAACAUCUAUUCAGCAAGUGUGUAUCUGGUAAGUGAAUAUUCCUUCUAUGUGUUCCCUUUUGCAUCAAACUACACACUGUCAUUCCUCCUUUAUCUCCAAAAGCUUGAAAAUUCCUCACUUGUAUCUCAUUCUUUCUCUCUUAGAAAACUGAUCACCUCUGAUGAAUUAGAACGGAAUGACCAAGCUUUGGGAGAGGCAAAAGAAUUUCGGUGUUAAAGACUCAGAGUUUAAGAAGCAACAAAAAGAUUAUACAGAUGUGAAUAUGUGACCUUCCUCCACCAGGGCAUGUUGCCUUGGAGUAAGAUAAUUUAAGCACACACUUCAUAGCCUGAGAACAAUUUUGGAAGUUUUUGCUUUAUGGAUAUUUACAUAAAGCAAAUAUGGAUAUUUACCUAAAGGCUGGACCAAGGCCUAAUUCCUCUAGAGCCCCUUGAUCAUGAACACCAUUCCUGUCAUGAUUCUUAAGGUCUUCCUGCUGUUCUCAUUAGCACCAUUUUCAAUUUGCUGCGCCGUGGCCUUUUUCAGUGGUACAACUGCUGUAUUUGCUACAGGCUUUAAAAUAAUGAGAGUUUUUCUCCUUGAGAAACAUUACAUCUUACCCCACCUGUCUUAAGAAAUUUAGCCCAGGUUUUUCUUUACCGGAUGGGAGGACAUUUAGGUAGUACCACAUAGAGCCACACUGAAUGCCAGGGUGGGUACCCAAUGUCCUAUGGGUCGAAUACAGCUCACUGUUUUUGUAUGGCUCACACACCAGAGACAGUUUUUACCUUUGAAUCUCAUUAGGUGACACAUUAUCCACCCUAUAAAGAAUUCAGCUUUUCUCAUUGGUAGACCUAUAUUACAAAAAAAGUACUCACUUAUCAUUGUAUUUUGAAUUUCAUCAACGAAAACAUUCUGAGAAUUUGUUUUCUCACUUAUUUUAAAAGUAUAUAGUAUAAUUUGUUUCUUGUCCCUAGACACUAAAAAUUUUUUCUGUCUGUCUUUUUACAGAAAAAAUUUGCCUGCUCUGCUCAGGACCAUCACUCUGCCUGCCUGGGGCGGAACUGGAUUUUUUCCCCUGGAUUCUUUUCUUGUUGGGAGUGAGUGCAAAGCCUUCCAUCUAUCCCUGGCUACAAGCUGAAAGGCUGGGCACAGUUAAAAGUUUCUACUUUGCUUCAGGGUGUAAAUCUGGGUCCAUACAGGUGCUCUCCGCUGUAUGGUAGGCUACUUGAGGGGCCAUGAGCUUUCUUCUCCAUUUUCUCAACUUUGGCCAGAAACACAGCCAGCAACAAUUCAUCCAUCUCAUCUUACUUCUGUGGCUGAUCCCUGAGUUUGGAUAUGUGAAUAAAAGACACACAUAAAGACCAAAUGAAAAGAGAGUACCUAUGUUCCAAAGGACAAAUUCCUGCCGAGUUUUUGGUUUAUGUAAUAACUGCGCUGGAGUCUUGUGUGCCCCACAAUGUACAAGAAUGCGCCAACAUGACAAACCAAAAAGGAAGAUGAAUAUUUUCUAUUCAACCUUCCAGAAUUCAUGCUCAUCCCCCAUUUUCUCCUG